rnacentral:rRNA from 1 species
UACAGAGGUCUCAAGCGUUGUUCGGAAUUACUGGGCGUAAAGCGUGCGCAGGCGGUUAUGCAAGACAGAUGUGAAAUCCCCGGGCUCAACCCUGGGAACUGCAUUUGUGACUGCAUGGCUAGAGUACGGCAGAGGGGGAUGGAAUUCCGCGUGUAGCAGUGAAAUGCGUAGAUAUGCGGAGGAACACCGAUGGCGAAGGCAAUCCCCUGGGCCUGUACUGACGCUCAUGCACGAAAGCGUGGGGAGCAAACAGG